rnacentral:rRNA from 1 species
GACAGAGGGUGCAAACGUUGUUCGGAAUUACUGGGCGUAAAGCGCGUGUAGGCGGCUUGGCAAGUCGGGUGUGAAAGCCCCGGGCUCAACCUGGGAAGUGCACUCGAAACUGCUUGGCUUGAGUACUGGAGAGGGAAGCGGAAUUCUCGGUGUAGCGGUGGAAUGCGUAGAGAUCGGGAAGAACAUCUGUGGCGAAGGCGGCCAGCUGGGCUGUUGCUGACGCUGAUGCGCGACAGCGUGGG